rnacentral:piRNA from 1 species
UGAAGGCUUUACAACAACACUAUUUGCAACUU